rnacentral:tRNA from 1 species
AAGGGUAUAGCUCAGUGGUAGAGUAAGUGCUUAGCAUGUAUGAGGGCCUGGGUUCCAUCCCCAGUGCCUCCA